GCAGAUUGGUCGGGGCUGGGACUGCCGAAGAUUGCCGAAAGGCGGCGGGGAGGAGGAGGAGGAUGUCAUCGCUAGAGUGAGCAAGCAGAUCUCGCGGGAGCAAAUGUCGCGAGACCUCUCCAGGUCUGCAACCGCCAAAGAAAGGUUACUUUUCCCGGAAGUAACGUCAGUCGAAACGGCCCGGGAUCCUGGGAAUAUUCGUUCCCUCAGGCAGGAGGUUGGGGGGGUUGCUUGUGAUUAGUUUGUUAGGGGCUACCAAACACUGCUGAGUUCACUUGAGGGAAAGUAUAGGCUCGGCUGUGAUAUUUUAUCCUGUUUUUGGCCCCUUUGGGUGGGGUUGUAUACUGUGGGGAAGUGCAUGCUCCGUAGAACCUCUCGUAACAGUAGUUUGGGGCUCCACUUUAGGCUCAGCGACCAAGACUGCGAUGCUGUGGCAUAUUUGUGCAAGGCGCCAAGGUGAAGGCUUAGGAUUCAAGUACUUGUGAACACACAGACCUGUCAUCAGAAAUGCCUCCCUAUUCUAACACUCACCCAGUGAGCCUCUGAAAAGGAAAUAAUUUGACUUGUCUGUGCCAACUCCAUAGUUUGCGCCCCCUACUACCCACAUUUACUAAAGUUAAUGCAAUUCAGUUACCAGCAUCUGUGAUGAGAAGUACCUAGUGUAGAGCCUAACUGCAGAUAAGGAUUAGAAGAACUUACUGAAAGUUAACUAUUCUAUUUCUGUUCCCUUAUGUCUCAUGUUUUAAUUAAUUUCAGCCUGGCCCUUAGCACGUAAGCAGAACAGCAUUUGCUUAAGGUCACUAAGUAGCCUUCUUGUGCCAAAUUCGCUGGACUUUGAAAAGUUAAUUUUGCUUAAAGGCAAAAGUAUAAUAUACACCCUUUGUGAAAGAAAGAAGGGGACAUAAAACACACAAAUACCUGCUCAUUUGUCAGGGGAGGUAUAAACCAGAAGUUAAGGUGAAUGAUGUCCUAUAUGAGAAGGGUGGCAAGAAGGGGAGGAUUGGAACAAGGUAGCAGGAUCGACAAAGGAGUGGCAGAUAUUUUUAUACAGGACUGUCUCUUAGAACCAUAUGUUUCACAUACCCAAAAACAUAAACACCUAAAACCAACUACGAUAAUAUUUCAGUAACAACCAGCUGAUAGGAGCAUAAAUCAAAAGGAAAAGAAAAAAGGGGGAAAAGUCAGUGAGCUGCGGAGGGACCAAGUUGUAUGGUCCUUUAAAGUUCAGACGUAUAGGUUGUCUGUUGUAUUUGUUUUCUGUUGUGCUAACAAAUUACCACAAAUAUAGUGGCUUAACACAGACUUACUAUCUUACAAUUCUGUAAGUCAGAAGUCUGACUCGGGUCUCAAACUUGGCUAAAAUCAAGGUGUUGGCAGGGCUGCCUUACUUUCUGGGGGCUCAAGGGAAGAAUUUGUUUCCUUUUCCAGCUUCCAGAGGCUACUUGCAUUCCUCGGCUCCUGGCUCCCUUCUUCCAUCUCAAAGCCAGCAAUGAUGAGUAACACAGCGACUCUACAAGGGGUGGGGAGGAAAAGAACUCACCUAAGUACUGAGGGAAACAGUAUCUUGACUGGAUACCUAAGAGUAAACCAACUGAACUGUACAUAAAUUCUGUGAUCCACAUCACUCCCCUCCCAUCCAGGCUGCCAUGUAACAUUGAACAGAGUUUCCUGUGCUAUAUGGUUUUUUUCCUACUGCCUGGUGCUAGUUCCUCUGAAGUAGGCAGGGGAGCCCUGUGAGCCCUUUGUAAGACCAGGACCCCC